rnacentral:rRNA from 1 species
AUUGAACGCUGGCGGCAUGCCUUACACAUGCAAGUCGAACGGUAACGGGCCUUCGGGUGCCGACGAGUGGCGAACGGGUGAGUAAUGCAUCGGAACGUACCUUUCAGUGGGGAAUAACGUAGCGAAAGUUACGCUAAUACCGCAUAUUCUGUGAGCAGGAAAGCAGGGGAUCGCAAGACCUUGCGCUGAUUGAGCGGCCGAUGUCAGAUUAGCUAGUUGGUGAGGUAAAGGCUGACCAAGGCGACGAUCUGUAGCGGGUCUGAGAGGAUGAUCCGCCACACUGGGACUGAGAGACGGUCCAGACGCCGACGGGAGGCAGCAGUGGGGAAUUUUGGACAAUGGGGGCAACCCUGAUCCAGCCAUGCCGCGUGAGUGAAGAAGGCCUUCGGGUUGUAAAGCUCUUUCGGUCGGGAAGAAAUCGCAUGGGUUAAUACCCUGUGCGGAUGACGGUACCGGCAUAAGAAGCACCGGCUAACUACGUGCCAGCCGCCGCAGUAACAC